UACGUAGGGGCCAAGCGUUGUCCGGAAUUAUUGGGCGUAAAGAGCUCGUAGGCGGCCUGUUGCGUCCGCUGUGAAAUCCCGGGGCUCAACCCCGGGCCUGCAGUGGAUACGGGCUGGCUAGAGGCAGGCAGGGGAGAACGGAAUUCCUGGUGUAGCGGUGAAAUGCGCAGAUAUCAGGAGGAACACCGGUGGCGAAGGCGGUUCUCUGGGCCUGUACUGACGCUGAGGAGCGAAAGCGUGGGGAGCGAACAGG
rnacentral:rRNA from 1 species